UCUGGUUGAUCCCGGCGGAGGCCACUGCUAUCGGAGUUCGAUUAAGCCAUGCGAGUCGAGAGGUGUAAGACCUCGGCAUACUGCUCAGUAACACGUGGACAACCUACCCUGAAGAGGGGGAUAACCCCGGGAAACUGGGGAUAAUACCCCAUAGACUAUGGAUGCUGGAAUGCUUUGUAGUUGAAAGGUCCGCCGCUUCAGGAUGGGUCUGCGGCCGAUUAGGUUGUUGUUGGGGUAACGGCCCAACAAGCCUGUAAUCGGUACGGGUUGUGGGAGCAAGAGCCCGGAGAUGGAUUCUGAGACACGAAUCCAGGCCCUACGGGGCGCAGCAGGCGCGAAAACUUUACAAUGCGAGCAAUCGUGAUAAGGGAACUCCGAGUGCCUGUAAAAUCAGGCUGUCCGCCAGUGUAAAUAACUGGUGAAGAAAGGGCCGGGCAAGACCGGUGCCAGCCGCCGCGGUAAUACCGGCGGCUCGAGUGGUGGCCACUAUUACUGGGCUUAAAGCGUUCGUAGCUGGUCUGUUAAGUCUCUGGGGAAAUCUUCCGGCUUAACCGGAAGGCGUCUCAGGGAUACUGGCAGACUAGGGACCGGAAGAGGUGAGAGGUACUCCAGGGGUAGGAGUGAAAUCCUGUAAUCCUUGGGGGACCACCUGUGGCGAAGGCGUCUCACCAGGACGGCUCCGACAGUGAGGAACGAAAGCUGGGGGAGCAAACCGGAUUAGAUACCCGGGUAGUCCCAGCUGUAAACGAUGCGCGUUAGGUGUAUCGGUGACCACGAGUCACCGAGGUGCCGAAGAGAAAUCGUGAAACGCGCCGCCUGGGAAGUACGGUCGCAAGGCUGAAACUUAAAGGAAUUGGCGGGGGAGCACCACAACGGGUGGAGCCUGCGGUUUAAUCGGACUCAACGCCGGGAAACUCACCGGACAAGACAGCUGAAUGAUAGUCGGGCUGAAGACUCUACUUGACUAGCUGAGAGGAGGUGCAUGGCCGUCGUCAGUUCGUACUGUGAAGCAUCCUGUUAAGUCAGGCAACGAGCGAGACCCA
rnacentral:rRNA from 1 species